rnacentral:rRNA from 1 species
AUUGAACGCUGGCGGAAUGCUUUACACAUGCAAGUCGAACGGCAGCACGCACUUCGGUCUGGUGGCGAGUGGCGAACGGGUGAGUAAUGUAUCGGAACGUGCCCAGUCGUGGGGGAUAACGUAGUGAAAAUUACGCUAAUACCGCAUACGAACUAUGGAUGAAAGCGGGGGAACGCAAGCCCUCGCGCGACUAGAACGGCCGAAAGCGGAUUAGGUAGCUGGUGGGGUAAAGGCCCACCAAGCCAACGAUCUGUAGCUGGUCUGAGAGGACGACCAGCCACACUGGAACUGAGACACGGUCCAGACUCCUACGGGAGGCAGCAGUGGGGAAUUAUGGACAAUGGGCGAAAGCCUGAUCCAGCCAUUCCGCGUGCAGGAUGAAGGCCCUCGGGUUGUAAACUGCUUUUGUACAGAACGAAAAGGUUUCUACUAAUACUAGGAGCUCAUGACGGUACUGUAAGAAUAAGCACCGGCUAACUACGUGCCAGCCGCCGCAGUAA